rnacentral:rRNA from 1 species
AGUGAACGCUGGCGGUAGGCCUAACACAUGCAAGUCGAACGGCAGCACAGUAAGAGCUUGCUCUUACGGGUGGCGAGUGGCGGACGGGUGAGGAAUACAUCGGAAUCUACUUUUUCGUGGGGGAUAACGUAGGGAAACUUACGCUAAUACCGCAUACGACCUACGGGUGAAAGCAGGGGAUCUUCGGACCUUGCGCGAUUGAAUGAGCCGAUGUCGGAUUAGCUAGUUGGCGGGGUAAAGGCCCACCAAGGCGACGAUCCGUAGCUGGUCUGAGAGGAUGAUCACCCACACUGGAACUGAGACACGGUCCAGACUCCUACGGGAGGCAGCAGUGGGGAAUAUUGGACAAUGGGCGCAAGCCUGAUCCAGCCAGACCGCGUGGGUGAAGAAGGCCCUCGGGUUGUAAAGCCCUUUUGUUGGGAAAGAAAAGCAGCAGGUUAAGACCCCGCUGUUCUGACGGAACCCAAAGAAUAAGCACCGGCUAACUUCGU